AGAGCGAACGCUGGCGGCAGGCUUAACACAUGCAAGUCGAACGGGCAUAGCAAUAUGUCAGUGGCAGACGGGUGAGUAACGCGUGGGAACGUACCUUUUGGUUCGGAACAACACAGGGAAACUUGUGCUAAUACCGGAUAAGCCCUUACGGGGAAAGAUUUAUCGCCGAAAGAUCGGCCCGCGUCUGAUUAGCUAGUUGGUGAGGUAAUGGCUCACCAAGGCGACGAUCAGUAGCUGGUCUGAGAGGAUGAUCAGCCACAUUGGGACUGAGACACGGCCCAAACUCCUACGGGAGGCAGCAGUGGGGAAUAUUGGACAAUGGGCGAAAGCCUGAUCCAGCCAUGCCGCGUGAGUGAUGAAGGCCCUAGGUUGUAAAGCUACUUUUGUGCGGGAAGAUAAUGACGGUACCGCAAGAAUAAGCCCCGGAUAACUUCGCGCCAGCAGCCGC
rnacentral:rRNA from 1 species